GUCUAUGGCCAUGCCACUCUGAACGUGCCUGAUCUUGUCUGAUCUCGGAAGCUAAGCAGGGUUGGGCCUGGUUAGUACUUGGAUAGGAGACCACCUAGGACCAGGUGCUGUAGGCG
rnacentral:rRNA from 1 species